rnacentral:tRNA from 1 species
GGGGGUGUAGCUUAGUCCGAUCAAAGCAGUCGCCUGUCGAGCGAAAGAUCGUGGGUUUAAAUCCCAUCAUCCCCG